rnacentral:rRNA from 1 species
AAGACCUUGCGCUUUUGGAGCGGCCGAUGUCUGAUUAGCUUGUUGGUAAGGUAAAAGCUUACCAAGGCUUCGAUCAGUAGCUGGUCUGAGAGGACGACCAGCCACACUGGGACUGAGACACGGCCCAGACUCCUACGGGAGGCAGCAGUGGGGAAUUUUGGACAAUGGGGGCAACCCUGAUCCAGCCAUGCCGCGUGAGUGAAGAAGGCCUUCGGGUUGUAAAGCUCUUUCAGCCGGAACGAAACGGUUACGGUUAAUACCCGUGACUACUGACGGUACCGGAAGAAGAAGCGCCGGCUAACUACGUGCCAGCAGCCGCGGUAAUACGUAGGGUGCAAGCGUUAAUCGGAAUUACUGGGCGUAAAGCGUGCGCAGGUGGUUUUGUAAGUCAGAUGUGAAAUCCCCGGGCUUAACCUGGGAACU